rnacentral:tRNA from 1 species
GGAGAGGUGCUGGAGCGGUUGAACAGGCCGGUCUCGAAAACCGGAGUGGGGGUAACUCCACCGUGGGUUCGAAUCCCACCCUCUCCGCCU